rnacentral:lncRNA from 1 species
AAAUUAAAGUCGAGAUGGACCUGAGGAAGACCACAUGAGGGCUGAUGGGGAAGAGGCAUUUGAAGAGCCUUGAAACCAGCGAAACAAUAAUCAAAGAGCAGUUCUGUCAAAGAAAACAACAUAAAUCAGGUACAGAAUUUCAGAGUGGGAUAUCAGAUCUUUAGUGUGAAGAUACAUCUACAUUAAACCAGGAAUCACUAGAACUGACAUUUGGACAAGAAAAUUUGGAAAAUUUUAAAACUGUGAAGGUUGAUCAUGGAAAUUAAAGAGGAAGGGGCAUCAGAAGAAGGGCAGCACUUUCUUCCUACAGCCCAGGCCAAUGAUCCCGGGGACUGUCAGUUCACAAGUAUCCAGAAGACUCCAAAUGAACCGCAGUUGGAAUUCAUCCUUGCUGCAGCUAUCUGAAUAAUGGGAUCAGGCCUGGUGAUUGGAUGCUGCUGAACAUCUACAUGCAAGGAUCUCGUGGCUCCUGUCCGUGAUCGUAAACUGAAUACACUGGUGCAGAUCUCCGUAAUCCACCCCGUGGAGCAGAGUCUGACAAGAUACUC